rnacentral:lncRNA from 1 species
AGAUGAUGUAAAACUUGAUAUUUUCUGUUACAGUCAAAGGCAUAAUUUCUCUGACAUCUUCAUUCUCAAUAAGAAAUUACACUAGAAUGUUUUUAAGUAAAACUUUUCCACAUAAUGACAAUUUUUUUCCUUGUUCAGUUUACCUAAUUGAAAAAAGCUCAAGCAUUUAUUUACUUAUCAUAACUGUUAAGAAAUUAUAGUCAUUACACCUACCAUCCGUUCUCCACAUGACGCUGGAAAGAACAAGACUACAUUACUUUGCUUCAGAAAAUCUGUAUUUCUGUCUGUACUUCACUGAUUGAUUGAGCCCUUGGACCGCCCCACAAAGAAGAGAAUAUACCCAACACAGCCCUCUGCCUCCCCAGGCUUGCUUCGUAAAGAGGAAAACUGAUUCAAUCCAUUAAGAGGGAGGUUAUCUUUCUUAAGUGGCCUACGUCUAAGGUGCAGAUAUUACAGGGUUGGUCAGUGGAAGAACAGGAAUAUACGCACAAGUAUUAGGACUUAGGUUUCAGUGCUUGUCAUGAAUGGCAGUGGUAUUAUGAACAGGUAAACGAUUAUGCUAGAUUUAACCAUAGAGUACAUUAUCA